CAAUUAAGAAACGUAAAGCACGACCUAAAGUUGACCUUGAUCAAGAGACUGAUAGAGUAUGGAAGCUUCUGCUGGAAAAUAUAAAUAGUGAAGGUAUUAAUGGAACAGACCAGGAGAAAGAAAAAUGGUGGGAAGAAGAGCGUAGAGUGUUCCAUGGACGUGCAGACAAUUUUAUUGCACGAAUGCAUCUUGUGCAAGGUACAAAUUCUUUCAUUUUCAGGGAAUUCAUAUUAAGCGUAUCAUUUCAAAUCUUAUCUCAUGACUACAGUUUCUACGCAGUGCAAGCUACUCGAUGAAAAGAAAUAUGCAUUCUGUAUAUUCAUGUACUGACCAUCAUGAUAGUCUCAAGAACCUUGGGAACUCUCAUGCAUAUGCAUUAUAUACAAAUAGAACGCUAUUCUUUCAAUUUUAGAUGUAGGUUACAACUUCAUAUUCUAACAGUAUAAUAUUUUACUUUUAACAGGUGAUAGACGCUUCUCUCCGUGGAAGGGAUCAGUUCUGGACUCAGUGGUUGGAGUUUUCCUUACACAAAAUGUCUCAGACCACCUCUCUAGGUAAAGUGCCGUUUCUAUAAACUAGAGAAUGACAUUAGAUAAAUUCCAAGUGAGAAACUUUCUAAUCUGUACCUCCUUACAGCUCUGCAUUCAUGUCAAUGGCUGCACAUUUUCCCCUGAAGUCAAGGAGCAACGAAAAAUCAUGUGAUGAAGACGUUGCGAGCUUCGUAGUAGAUGAACCAGAAGUGUGCCUUAGUGAGAAUUCAAACCAGCCAGGUUGUGACUGGAGUUCCCUCACGUUCCAUGAUGCUGAGCAUAGUGAAGAAAAAGUUGUCAAUGGAAAUGAGAACUCUGGAAGCACUACUGAAGGUAUCUCAACAAAUGAAGCAGAAUGCAAGCUAUCACAUCCAUCUGAAUCUGGUCCGGGGUUGUACCCUAACUCAUUAAUGAACAAAUCAACCACCAAGAUCACAAGAACAGGAUCGUACCUGCAGGAGGAUAUGAGAACUUAUGAUGGAGUUUCAUCUCAAAAUUCUGUGGAUUCUUCAACUUCACAAACUGUGGAAAAGACAGGAUCAUGCGAGAGCAACUCAGAAACAGAGUAUCCACCUAAUAGAUGUGAAAACAGCAGUUUAGAUCACUCCACUUCGUUUGUGGAGCUUUUACAGAGGGCCGAAUCAAGUAUGCUGCAUUACAGUCUCAAGGGGACCUAUAUGUCCUCUCAUGACACAUCAAACUGUGGAGGUUACCAACCUGAAUGUAUGCAGCAUAAUGAUCAAAGAUGUGAGAUAAACAGAGAAGAAGCAUCCCUAGACCCUUCCAGUAACUGUUGUUUGAAUCUAACCCCCCACCCAGGAGUACGGCAAGUUGAGUGCUUUGAUUUGUUCGCAGAAGUAACCGAGUCUUCUUAUACAUCCAAAAAUAAAUGGGAAGACAGUCUGAGUGAAAGAAGUGUACUAACAGCAGAAUCUCCCAGUCAAGAUACAAUAAAUAAUAAGCUGACAGCAAAUGUUCAAGAAACACCAAGAUGUUCCAGAAAUUCGUCCAAUAACAUUCAGGCAGGCAAUAAUAUGGCCCAGUCUCAACUCGGGUGGGUUGGGAACUUGAAUAAUGUUGACAUACAUUCUCAGGAGCAAAACAAUAAGAUACAGCAAAGUCGCUUGAAUGUUUCUGGAGGGACCACAGAUGUUAGGCAGAAGGCAGCAGAGUUGGGUUUAAAUGAGCAGAGUAAUUCAGUAAGCAAGGAGUUCACUAGUACAAAUGCUGCUACCUCCAAAACAAAGAACAGAAGAGCUGGAAAAGAGAACAAAGAUCAACAAGAUUGGGACAAAUUAAGGAAACAAGCAGAAUCAAAUGGAAAGAAAAGGGAAAAGACAGAAAAUACAAUGGAUUCCUUGGACUGGGAAGCCGUAAGAUGUGCAGAUGUUAAUGAGAUUGCCCAAACCAUCAAAGAGCGGGGAAUGAAUAAUAUGCUUGCAGAACGAAUAAAGGUAAAAGUAACAUUAAAUAUCAUUCUGAAAUUUUUCAGUGAGCCCAUUACACAUAGAAAACCUUAUCAGCUGAAGUUGAUUGAGAAAUUUUGUGCAGGAUUUCCUUAACCGACUGCACAGAGAACAUGGUAGUGUUAAUCUUGAAUGGUUGAGGGACGUUCCACCUGACCAAGCAAAGUAAGCU
rnacentral:lncRNA from 1 species